UGGUGGAGUGAUUUGUCUGGUUAAUUCCGUUAACGAACGAGAUCUCAACCUGUUAACUAGUUGUACCUAUUGCCUAUUCGGGUGAAGCUGGGCAACGUGCGUUUGGGUGUAAAGCCCGGGCGUGCUCGCUUAGUGGAUCCUUGGUGUAUGGGUGGAACUUCUUAGAGGGACUAUUGGGGAAUACCCAAUGGAAGUGAGCCAAUAACA
rnacentral:rRNA from 1 species